rnacentral:rRNA from 1 species
UACGUAGGGUGCAGGCGUUAAUCGGAAUUACUGGGCGUAAAGCGUGCGCAGGCGGUCUUUUUAAGUCAGAUGUGAAAUCCCCCGGGCUUAACCUGGGAACUGCGUUUGAAACUGGAAGGCUAGAGUGUGGCAGAGGGGGGGUGGAAUUCCACGUGUAGCAGUGAAAUGCGUAGAGAUGUGGAGGAAUACCGGUGGCGAAGGCGGCAUCCUGGACCAUUACUGACGCUGAGGCGCGAAAGCUAGGGGAGCAAACGGG